rnacentral:rRNA from 2 species
UUCCGGUUGAUCCCGCCAGAGGCCACUGCUAUCGGAGUUCGAUUAAGCCAUGCGAGUCGAGAGGUGCAAGACCUCGGCAUACUGCUCAGUAACACGUGGACAAUCUAACCUAUGGAAGGGGAUAACCCCGGGAAACUGGGGAUAAUACCCUAUAGACUAUGAAUGCUGGAAUGCUUUGUAGUCCAAAGGUCAGCCGCCAUAGGAUGGGUCUGCGGCCGAUUAGGUUGUUGUUGGGGUAACGGCCCAACAAGCCUGUAAUCGGUACGGGUUGUGGGAGCAAGAGCCCGGAGAUGGAUUCUGAGACACGAAUCCAGGCCCUACGGGGCGCAGCAGGCGCGAAAACUUUACAAUGCGGGAAACCGUGAUAGGGGAACUCCGAGUGCCCGUUAAAUCGGGCUGUCCAUCAGUUUAAAUAACUGGUGAAGAAAGGGCCGGGCAAGACCGGUGCCAGCCGCCGCGGUAAUACCGGCGGCUCGAGUGGUGGCCACUAUUACUGGGCUUAAAGCGUUCGUAGCUGGUUUGUUAAGUCUCUGGGGAAAUCUUCCGGCUUAACCGGAAGGCGUUUCAGGGAUACUGGCAGACUAGGGACCGGGAGAGGUGAGGGGUACUCCAGGGGUAGGAGUGAAAUCCUGUAAUCCUUGGGGGACCACCUGUGGCGAAGGCGCCUCACCAGAACGGCUCCGACAGUGAGGGACGAAAGCUGGGGGAGCAAACCGGAUUAGAUACCCGGGUAGUCCCAGCCGUAAACGAUGUGCGUUAGGUGUAUCGGUGACCACGAGUCACCGAGGUGCCGAAGAGAAAUCGUGAAACGUACCGCCUGGGAAGUACGGUCGCAAGGCUGAAACUUAAAGGAAUUGGCGGG